GGGUUUUUUUCCCUCCCUUUUCUUCCCGCCCUCUGCUUAUAUAACUGAAAUUAAACAGAAUUCGAAACAGAAACUCUGGAGGAUUUAGGGAAAGGGACGAGGCUGAAAGAGAUCCUUGCCCACCCGGCGUGAUCUCUCACCUUGUGAAAUAAGGUGUAAUGUAAUAAUAGGUCCAUUUUUAAAAGGGGAGAGCUAAGAGAAAUUUUUUCGUUCUUUCCCUGAACACCACACCAUUGUGUUCACUCACCCACCCGGUCCAGAGUAAAAAAAAAAUGGUGGGCGGGUAGCUGAGGAUCUGGCACAACCGCCGCCGCCAUGGGCGAAGACUAGGAAACAUCUUUAUACAGAUAUUUCAGGGAGCCCGCAAGGUCUACUGCCUCGUGUGCUGCCUGCAGGUCCCUAAAACCAAGGAGGACUGAAUAGGAGCCUGACCAUGUGGAGAAACAUCUGGCGAAGACAGAAGGCCGGCUCUGGCCAUUCCCCACAACCACCACCACCAUCUCCUCCAUCAUCCGCAGGGCGGGAGAGACGGAAGGAACCUUUUCGCCAGCAAUUUAAAAAAAUAAAAAA